CACAUUCAGUGUGAGAACCACUGGUUUAGAUUUUUUGAGUACCUGAGUAUGUGCUAUUGCACUUUAAUACAUAAAGUGAUAACCAUCAUUUUUGAAAGUGACAGCAACUGAAGAUGGUGAGAACUGCUUGAUUUCUAUACCUUGAGAAUUAAGGUUGCAUACCUAGACUCCUAAAUCUUGGUUUAGAAGCUGAACAUAAGAAAUCAGUCUUGCGUGUUUUUGGCAGAUGGUUAUGAGAAAGGUCCCACAUUCCUGGCUCUUGCUUGGGUAGAGCAUUGUUCCCUUGUGCUUCACAGUUCAAUAUCUCAUCCUGGAAAGAUGUUCAUAGCUGCACAUUCCUGAAGGAGAAGAGAGACAGUGUGACUAGAGAGAGAGGAGAACAUCAUCAUUUUAAGCAAGACCUGUGAAAAGGUGCUUGUGCUGUUGAAGUCCAGUGGUAUUUUGAACAAUGCAGCUUGCUGAGGACAUAGAUGAACAAGUAAGUCAGAAUCAGUCCAAACAAGUCCUGAUCAAGGGUUGAGAAAUCCUUUGUCUGAGGGACACAGAUGGACAAGGCCAGGGGCAACGAGAGAGAGAUAAACCGGGGCUUAAUGGCCAGGAAGCAGUCUUUUGUGUGGGCUUAUCUCGAGGAGGAUAGCCAUCUCAGGGGGUACUGCACAUGACUGUUACCCAAGCACCCAGGAAUGCCACAUUGGCAGAAGAAGGAUAAAAAAAAGGGACGAACAACCAGAAGAGGGAGGUUUUCUGACAACAGAUUCCUCAUGAAGAAGAGGUUUCUGACAACAGAUUCCUCAUGCUGGAGAGAGGUUUUCUGACAGCAGAUUCCUCAUGAAGAACAAGAAGGUUUCUGACAUGAGAAGCCUCACGACCUGCCUCUCCCUCCUGGACUUGCUCUGUGCUCUACCUGCUUGCUGCCUGAGGCCAGCCACUCUGCUGCUGCUCUCCCCCCCAAGAAGGUGUCUACCAUCAGAUCCCUCACUACGAAAGGCCUGCAUGCUGACGGACUGUCCAGGGCCUGCUACCAGAGACCUGCUGCGUCCUCCCAGACUUCUUCCUGGACCUACUCGGUGCCUGCACCUUCUUGCUGCCUGAAACCGGCCACGCUGCUGCUGCUCUUCCCCUGCGCUUUUGACCCAGACCGUCAGAACGUUGUGCAAUGGGACUGCUGCCAGAUCCUGGUGGUGACUAUCCUUGCUUUACACAAUUCUUGCCUCUUUCUAUCUUUUCUAUCGCCCGCCUUCCCUUCCCUAUCACCCUAAAUCAUCCAUCCUCCCCUUCCC
rnacentral:lncRNA from 1 species